UGAGUAACCAGUAAACAACCAGUGAGUAACCAGUGAGUAACCAGUAAACCAGCAGUAAACCAGUACAUGUGUUUAAAUGUGACAGGAGGAAAAUGGCUGUUCUCCCAGAUACCCCAACCAAAGACGAAGCUCAGUGUCAAGAUGAUUCACGUCCGCCAUUUCCCGGAAGUGCUUCCGCUAGUUAUUUAGUGCAAAUAGAAAAACAAGGGAAACGUUUCCAGGGGACCCAGAUGAGUGAUGCACCGGCUGUAGUUCAACAACCACAAACUACAAGCAGGUCUGAUGGAGCCCCGCCUCCUCCGUGUUAGUGGACGGGAUGUGGACCAUCACAGAUGCGUUCAGCCAAGAGGGCGGCGGCCAUCUUGAUAAACAGUCUGUGAAUCCUACAAACCCAGAACAUGCAAAAGGCGAAAAAAGCUGAAGAAACAAUGGCAUGUGCAAAAAUACUCUCCUCAAGCUCCGGACGCUCGGCUGCGAGUCGACAGAGGUCAAACGCUCUCGUGGGAAAAUCCCAUUCCCGUGAGGACAGAGUUACAAAGCUGCGAGGGAACGGGGACAACGUGUUGUCAGAGCUCGUGGAAGCCCGACGAAGACGGGGACUCGACACGGACACAUUUCUGAGGACGGUGGCGAGAGGAGACUGAUCACUGACAAGAGGUCGUCACAGCAACAUGAUCUCCAACCACAUCACGACACACAGGUACGCACAGGAAGAAACACGGGAACAAUUCAAGAUACACAACAACCAGCGUCUUCACAGGGAAACGAUGAAGAAUCGUCUAAAGCUGACGGGGACGUGAACAACCACAGAACGAGGCCGCGAUGGGAAAACGCUCCAGUUCCUCCAGACGUCGACAUGACGCCUGAAGAACGCUGGUGGUUCACGUGUUUGUGCUGAAACACACGAGUCUGGAGAUCAUCACGUCAGCAGAACUCAGGAGAAGCUGGAGCUCUCCUUCCUGUUAGUCGAGGCCGAUUCUCAUGAUACAUGUUCAGGGUUUAGGUAGAAAGAGAGGGUUUCGAUCCAAAAAGACUUUUGCUUUGAAAUCAGUUUGUCAAACUUUAAAAAUGUGGUACCCUUUCAAAAUAAAGCAUACUUAAAAAACGUAAGUUGCCACUAUGACUCAUUAAGACACCAUUGACUGUAAAUAAAGACGGACGACGUGAUGAAGCCAGAGACUCUCGAUCACCACCUAGUGGCUGGCUGCAGUAUAGGUCGUUAACACCCCCUCCUCCAUGUUAGCAGAUGGGAGAGGGACAAACGUCGUCCAUCUUUAUUUCCUUUAUGGUGUGUGUAGGACGUGGAUCUAAGGAUUCACUGCUUCUGGUCGUUUGGAGUUUCUCUGGCUGGAAGUGAGACCGAUGAAAACCUGACAACACAAAAGGUUGUUUACUUUCAUGUGUUAUAGCAGAUUUUAAAUAUAUUUAUUUACAGGAAUAAAUGAGUCUUUAGUGGCAAAUUAUGAAUCCUUUAUAAUUACAGGAUAUUUCAGUGGUACCACAAUAAUCCAAUCCCAGUGUGGGCCCCUGCUCCGAGGCAGUGGAGCAGGAAGUCCAAUCUGAGGUGGACGUCAAUUAGAGUCAAUUCACAAUAAAUUAAAUUAAACUGACACGUAACUUUAACUAUUGGUGCCUGAAAAUCAGUGGUUCACAAAGAUGCAGGUAAACUGAAUCCAAUACAUUCAAAUAUCUGAAAGUACUUGAAAAGAUGAGUGACAGACGAGCUGCUGACAUCACAACUGUGACACUGAAACAUCCACACAGGAGGAGAAUCUACUAUCAGACAGGAAACACGUUGAAUCAACACUAUUCAAAAAGAUAUGUUGCUAAUACUUCACUGGAGAUGUUACGAUGCAGGUGAGUUUUUAUAUAAACAUCAAGAAUCCACAUUUCAAUGAAAUCAUUUAAUCUGAAUCUUAUUUUUGUCAAAAUGUUCAUGUGUAGUUUUGGAAAGAAAUCUGUUCACCUACAAAGUAAACAAGACCCCCACUGCAGCUUUAGCAGCCCGAUCUAACACACACACACACACACACACACACACACACACGUACGGUACUGUACACACACUAUUCACCUCACGACAUCCCACAGAAAGCACGAAGCACACCUGUAACAAAAUAACCCCAACACUUUUUUAUUUAUUGAACCGUCCAGCAGGUUCUCAGCGAAGACAAAGCUGCCGGUGCAGUUCCCGGUAACGAGCGGCGACUACAUUGUGCUUUAUUGCGGGCGAUUAACUCCCGUUCUUGUCGUGUGAAUACUCGUGAAAAGGAAAGGCUUUUCAGAUCAUGCUCCCAUCUGAGUUUGAGAUGUUCUGCUCAGGUUCCUCAUUUUCAGUCGGGUUAUUACACCACCAGCAGGUUGCGUGUGAGACGUGGAUGUGGUUUCACUCGAGGAAGAGCCGUGCGGCUCCAGGAAGCUGUUGUCACUUCCUUUAGGAUUGUGUGAUUUUAACAUUUCUCAGAUAAAAAUUCUUGGAUCUUGAAGGAAAUCAGUCAUAUUUAAGGGCCUGAUCUUUGGGUGUGAUCUGGUGAAUCUACUGUUGGGCCUUGGUAGAGCUCCACUGAGUUCAGAAACACCGUCCUCAGACUGUCCACUGCUGCAGCUCCUCUGCUCAGCCUCUGUCUCAAACACUUAGCUCCUGUCUCUUUAAGACCCCCCCCUCCUGAUGAAGCCCCCUCCCAUAGGCCAGCUGGCACACUCUGUUGUGAUUGGUCGUUGUCUGCUCUCACUUCAGUCUCACGUACGAGCCGGACGACUGACGACAGAACUUUAACGUUCGGAACAAGAACCUCGUACGUCUCCUCUAAAUACGCGUUUUGCUGCUUCAGUUUCCUGUUGCGUAC